GUCUUGGUAGCUCAGCAGGUAGAGCAAUUGACUCUUAAUCAAUGGGUCCAGGGUUCGAAUCCCUGCCAGGACACCA
rnacentral:tRNA from 1 species